UACGGAGGGUGCGAACGUUGCUCGGAAUCAUUGGGCGUAAAGCGCACGUAGGCGGCGAGGAAAGUUGGGUGUGAAAGCCCUGGGCUCAACCCAGGAAGUGCAUUCAAAACUACCUUGCUUGAAUCUCGGAGGGGGUCAGAGAAUUCCCGGUGUAGAGGUGAAAUUCGUAGAUAUCGGAAGGAACACCAGUGGCGAAAGCGGCUUCCUGGUCCAGCACCGACGUUCAGGCACGAAAGCGUGGGGAGCAAACAGG
rnacentral:rRNA from 1 species